CGGUGGGAGUCAGGACACCUGGCUUUGGGCUCCAGCUUGGCUGCUCUCACUGGCUGAGAGACGUGGAGUGACACACGUCCUGUCUCUGUCUUCCCGGCAGUGAAAUGGGUCUGACCAUGCCUGCCUUCCACCCACAAACCCUGGAGGAGACAGACGAGACACGGCGUUAUCCAUUACACAGGUGUGACGUGUCCACCGGCAGCCCCCGUCCCUCGAGCACUUUCUGCAUCUCGGGCGGCGUGCCAGGCACUUUUACACACAUUUUCUCAGUUAAGCCUCAAACCACCUCGGGAAACAUCAAUUCCCCUCCAGCGGAACCUGACGUUCCCGCGGGGCCAUCAGCGAACUUGGGAAGGGGAAGGCAGUGGUUAAGCGUGCGGGUUCUGGAGGGGGACGCCGCGGGUUUGAAUCCCGGCUCCGGCUCUUACGAGAUGGGUGACCUUGGACCGGCUCCUUAGGCCCCGAUUCCCUACUCUGUAAAGUGGGGUGACGGACUCUCCCUGCCAUGCAACACCGCUGUGGGGGUGACACAGGGCGAAUGUGUCGCGCGCCCCGGCCCCGGGCAAGUGCCCAGCAAAGGGUGGUGGCUGUCAGCCGUGAUGGGGGCCCGCGGGCCCGGCGCCGAGAGGUGCCAGCGCCCGGAUUCGAACCCGCAGGCGGUCCCAGCGGCGGAGGACGCCCGGCAAGGGGCGGCGGCGCGGUGCGCACGGGGUCGAGCCUCCGCCCCGCUCAGGCCGCGCUCCCUGACGCCGGCGCCCCGCCGACCCCCGCCGGAAACCUCGGUACACCCGCGGCUUCUCCGUCUGCGGCUUCCGACCCCAGGCCCGCGGCGCGGCGAUCCCUCCGCGCGGCCUACGCAGCCUCGGCGUGGCGUGUGGCCUCAGCCGCCGGCGCACCCCGCUGGCAGCCGCAACUUCCCGUCUGCGCCCCGCUCGUCCCGCGGCCGCCAGAGAAGCAGGCGGGCGCUGCCGGCGCGGCCAAUGGGAGGCCCGCGAGUGGACCGGCCCGUCCGCGGGGGGGGAGCGGACUUCCGGGUGCGCCCUCCCUGCGGAACGCUGGGAGCCGAGGUCCAACCCACCCCCGCUCGAGAAGCAGGUGGAUUGGUCCCAGGCAAGCCCGUGGGCGGUGAUGGCACUUUUUAGAUUGUCCGCAGAGCGUCGAUCUCGGGGCGGCCGCGUGGCCUAAUGGAUAAGGCGUCUGACUUCGGAUCAGAAGAUUGCAGGUUCGAGUCCUGCCGCGGUCGCAUGGGGCGGUUACUGUUUUUGGCGUCCUGCGUCCUCUUAAGAGUAAAGUGACGGGACACUACGAAAGUGUCGUCGCCGGUUGCCGUCCCACGCUGGAGCCCGGGAACGCCUGGGUCUGCGAAAAUAACGGCUCCCACGCGUCAUGCCUCUGUGACAUCUCGCGCCCACGUGUCCCGGGCGCGAGGCGCGUUUCCAAAUUGCACCAGCCGCGCACGCCCGCGCGGGGAGGAGCGUGGAGAGGGAGGGCGUGCGGGGCGGAAACCCCGGUUUAAAGUCAGUCUACACCUGGGAAGCCCCUCCCGCGCCAACCGCGUGCUGCCCGUCUUCGUCCCGGACAAUCCUGCAGGGAAAACCAUUGCCUUUCGGUGAACCCUAAUCUGUCCCCGGACGCAAGACCCCGCCCAGCGCCCGGCUCCCGCGGGGCAGCCGGCGGCGCCGCCCGGUCUUUGCGGUCCCGGUCUCGGCGCCGCCGCCGCUUGGUCACGCUCCUCAUCGGCUCUGCUCUCGGCGCUCUACGUUUGGCAAACUGUAAAGUACUACGCACAGUAAGGGCCGCGUGAAUAAUGAGAGCCUGGAGACCCGGCUGCGAGGAUGAGGAACGGGAGCCCACCCGAGGUCACGUAGCUGAUGAGGGACGAAACUCAGGCCUCCCUGAAAGUGAGCCCGCGCGUGUGCCUGGACAGUGGGGGCUGCCUGGAGGAACUGACCUCGGUCCUGGUGGGAGUGGGCUGCGGGGACCCCGGGGCACAGGGAUGCAGCCCUCGGUCGGCCGGUCCCCGCCGCCUCCUGCCGCCCGAGAGGCAGGGAAGUCCAGACCAAGGCUCGCGAAGGCAGCUUGGUAGCCCUGCGCCCUGAUACUUCCAUGCUUUUAUUUAAGUAGGAAAU
rnacentral:tRNA from 1 species